rnacentral:lncRNA from 13 species
GUAGCAAACUACACGCUCUAUCGACUGCGGAUUGCUUUUGGUGCACAGUCGAUAGCGCGCUGGACUUCGGGUAAGAAGAUUGAGGGUUUGAAAAAUUAUCAGUUUAUUAUUUGGUUUAUACCGGUGAUCAAAUACUGUCUGCCGCUGUUCCUCUUUGCCUUUCUGUCUUCUACACCUCUCUCCCCACCUCGUCUUUCUGUCUUCUACACCUCUCUCCCCACCUCGUCUUUCUGUCUUCUACACCUCUCUCCCCACCUCGUCUUUCUGUCUUCUACACCUCUCUCCCCACCUCGUCUUUCUGUCUUCUACACCUCUCUCCCCACCUCGUCUUUCUGUCUUCUACACCUCUCUCCCCACCUCGUCUUUCUGUCUUCUACACCUCUCUCCCCACCUCGUCUUUCUGUCUUCUACACCUCUCUCCCCACCUCGUCUUUCUGUCUUCUACACCUCUCUCCCCACCUCGUCUUUCUGUCUUCUACACCUCUCUCCCCACCUCGUCUUUCUGUCUUCUACACCUCUCUCCCCACCUCGUCUUUCUGUCUUCUACACCUCUCUCCCCACCUCGUCUUUCUGUCUUCUACACCUCUCUCCCCACCUCGUCUUUCUGUCUUCUACACCUCUCUCCCCACCUCGUCUUUCUGUCUUCUACACCUCUCUCCCCACCUCGUCUUUCUGUCUUCUACACCUCUCUCCCCACCUCGUCUUUCUGUCUUCUACACCUCUCUCCCCACCUCGUCUUUCUGUCUUCUACACCUCUCUCCCCACCUCGUCUUUCUGUCUUCUACACCUCUCUCCCCACCUCGUCUUUCUGUCUUCUACACCUCUCUCCCCACCUNNNNNNNNNNACACACACACACACACACACACACACACACACACACACACACACACACACACACACACACACACACACCUCUUUGUUCUCAGAUAAAAGGGAAGUUCUUUCCUUCGUUGCCAGUCGCCCUGAAGAGCAGAGCUUCAUCUCCUUCAGAAUCAGAUCUGCUCUUGUUUUAA